rnacentral:lncRNA from 1 species
GAACGAGUGGCAUCUAGUUAACCUAAACAUUGAACGAGUGGCAUUAAGUAGUGCAAGAGUGGCAUGAGAACCCUAGUAUAGUUGAGAUACUAUGUUGCUAUCACCCCUGGUUGGAUAGGGUGUUCCCAGUUCAUGAGAUUGGAUCGAGCUCACUUAGCCUGUCUGCACCUGUGGAGGUAGCUCCUCACAGGUAGUGCACUCCGGAGUUUUGGCACGCGAGGGGGCCAGUGUAGUGCCCUUGGACCAGUGUAGUGUCCGCAGGUGGUCUCGGGGUAGGUGAAUAGCUAGCCACCUCUCCUAUGAGACUUAGAGACGUGAGACUGUGAGCGAACCUUGCGUUCGCCGAGAGAUUGGGUAAUCAGAUAAGUUAUCUUGUCGUUGAUCAUAGUAGUGAGUUAGUUAGCCUCCUUACUAUGAGAUCCAUGCAUACAUUUCACUGGAUUGAGGCAUUGAUAGAUUAUAGUUGCUUAUUACUGUACUGCUUUCAGUUUUAUAUAUCUAUCUAUCUGCAUAUCUAUCUGUGCCUGCUUAAGACCUAGUGGGGAGAUCGGCGGAGUCGGCGGCCGAACCCACUGGGAACUAUUCGUAGUUCUCACUCCACCACAUUGCAGGUCCGAGUUCGAGCGUCCCGGGAGAGGAUCGUGGCAAGGGCGUAGCGCCCUAGUGGUUCGUGUUUUAGCUAGCCUCUUCCUUUUUGUAUUAGCCCUGUAUUUAUGUUUGAGCGUAGAUGAUGUAUAAGGUGAGGUUGAGAGGAUUAUGUACACAUUGUAUAGUUGUGAAGAAUGCAAGUUGUAAUAACUGUAUAAAGUUAAGUGGAUCAAUAGAUAAGUAUAUCUCUCUUUUAUCACUUGUAUACCUUACUUGUGUUGCUUGCUCUUGAUUGUUAAGCACUAAUUGUGCUCUCGUGGUUGUUAAAUGAUUGUGUCCGUAGUCAAGUUAUUUCCUGGGAACUUGUGGUACACAAUCUUGUUGUUGGUGCCUUGGGCGGACAGGGAAGGUGCUGUCCGUUCGGCGGUCCGUUCGCCGCGCCUGAACCGUGCCAAAUUGGUAGCGGGCUCGGGGCGGGGGCGUGACACUUGUGGUUUUUGUAUCUUAGUAUUUCAAAACCAGUUCCCGACUAGGAAACGUUUUAACUAAUAGAUGUGGAUUUAUGAUUAAACACUGAAUGUGAAUAUGUGAUGAAUGGUGUAUGAAUGUAUGAAUGUAUGAUUGUUUGUAUAUUCAUUUAGUAGUGGUUGUAUCCUGGUUAUACAUCUUGUACUUGUGCAACGCCGUGCAAAUACAGGGGAGACUCUCCCCGUGUGAACAGUGGACUCCCUAUAUUUGUGGCGGAUCUAGCAUACCCUAGGGUCAGGUUUUCGAAAAAAAAAAUCUAGACACGUCCGCUGUGAUUUUAAUCCAAAAAGGGACCCCGGGGCGUGACAUUAGUGGUAUACAAUUUGCCACCAUGGAUGUGUAUGAAAAGUUUGUAUUUCAUAAUGUCUAUGCGAUAUUGAUAUCUACUGUCACGCCCCAGGGUCCCUUUUUGAUUUAAAAGCGAUGCGGAAGCGUCCAAUUUUUUUUUUUUUAAAAACCUGAUCUCAGGGUAUGCCAGAUCCGCCACAAAUACAGGGAGUCCACUGUUCACACGGACAGAGUCUCUCCUGUAUUUGCACGGCGUCGCGCAAGUACAAGAUACAUAACAAAAUACAACCACCAUACAGAAUAUAUAAGCAUUCGACCAUUCAUACAUUCAUACACUAUUCACCACAGGUUCAUAUACAGAGUUUAAACAUAAAACCACAACUAUUAGUUUAAAACGUUUCCUACCCAGAAACUUGUUUUGAAAAACUAAAUCAUAAAACCACGUGAAAACCUUUAUUCUUUUAAAAACUCGCUACCACGAGGGGUAGAAAACCAUUUCCAAUAUUUUACAUAAAAACCACGUGUUUUAAUUAACUUCACCAAAACCAUGUAUAUAUAUCCAACUGAAGUAAAAUCAACUGAACCAUAAACCAUCUAAGAUAAAUCUACAGAAAUAAAGAGGAUAACGACUAAACUGAACAAACUGGGUCGGAAGCUCUUUUGACUGCUACGAACGUGUCUCACAUCUCGUCUCAACCCUCAUCGCCCGGAAUACCUGAAAAAUGGUGGGGGAGGUGAGAACAUGUAAACAUGUCUCCCCUCCCAGUGUGUACCAUAAGCCAACGAAGGCGAGGAGUACUCAACGGAUCUGGAAGAGAUAAAUAGCAAUAUGGGUAAGUGAAAUACAGUAGCAACGAUAAUGGAUAUAUAUAUAUAUAUAUAUAUAUAUAUGAAAGAAAACUACCGCUACUGUAACUGUAAGGAAGUGAAUUCUCGAAAUACGAGAGUUGGGCUUCGUUUAAAAUCGACCAAGGGUCGUGUUGGCACGCUUCGGAAAAGCCGAAGAAGUCAAAAGCACCAAAAGUACAUUGAAGUUGGAUCUCGGAGAGGAAAUUGAUGAAAAUCUGCAUCUGGCAGAUUUUGCUUUAAGGGACCGGUCCCUAGUGGGAGAGACCGGUCCUCGUAAGCAUUGUGGGGGGGGCAGAGAAGCUCUGCGCGCAAGUAUUGCUCUCGGGGUCCGGUCCCUAAAGAGGGGACCGGUCUUUGAAGGUCCGGUCCCUCAGGCAAGGACCGGUCCCCGUACGCGUAGCCAGCGAAAAGAGAGAAAAUUGGCUAAGUCCUGAGAGUUCAGCUCUCGGGGACCGGUCCCUGGUAGGAGAGACCGAUCCUCGUGCUCGUGAGAGUUCAGCUCUUACUUGUAUGGCACUUGUGUGUUUCUAGUUGAUCAUGUAUGUAUUGAAUUUCUUUUCCUGGGCAAAUUCUUGCGCAUGAUCUCGUUGCUUAGCCUUAGGAAGAGAAAGGAGGUGCUGUCCGUUCAGGGUCUGUUUGACACGCCCGAAUCAGACCAAAUUGGUAGUGGUCUAGGGGUGUGACAGAUAUUAGUGGUAUUAGAGCAAGUUAAGAGCAAAUAAAGAGAGAGUCUAGGAUUGACCUAGGAGACCUUAGGAUGGUAAACCCUAGGGUUAUAGGUGCGUGAGCGAAACGUGAACCUAUAUUGGUUGAAGAAGAAUCCGAUUGGGUUGAAUCUAGUAUGGAUCUGUAAUGUGACUAGAGAGGAAUCCGCGUGGUGUUAGUUCUGUACUCGAAGUGUUUGUGUUGGCGGCCAACAACAUGACGCUGAGAGUUAGAACCAAUACACUUGUGUACUUCCGUCGGUGGCGGAGUUGAGUCGCGUUAUCUAGUAGUUGCGACGAGAUUGUCGGGUUAAGAUGAUUAACCGAGUUGUUGCGUUGCAGGAACUAAAUGUCUCCAAGAUGCUACACGCGUAGAUCUGUUUCGGCACCACCUCCUGAGGUGCCCGAGCAAGUCGGGUCUAGCGAGAUGCAGGAAUUACGGGUGCAGUUGACCGCGCUAACUUGGGUGGUGCAGCGCCAAGAGAGUCAGUUCGAGCAGCUCCAAGGGCUUACCCUGCAACUGAUCGAACAAGUCAUCGAUUCGGGGUAGUGGGUACUUGUUCUUGAUCGUGACUCUGUUUAACUCUCGAUAAUCCACGCAGAGUCGAAACUGUAACAUACCGGAUUUUAAAUAUAAAAGAGAAAAAUAAAUAAAAAUAGUAUGAGAUACUAUUUUAUUNAUUACUAUUCGAACAUGGAUCGAAUUUGUUAGCUUGGUAGUAAACCUUAUUAUAUGACGCAUGCAUUCUUAUUCAUGAUUAUGGGCAUAGUAGCAUAGUUUUCCUACUACUGCAUUUACAGCUUUCAGAUACAUAUCUAUCAAUCUAUCUGUUGUUACUUGUGCCCACUUGGACCUAGUGGGGAGAUCGGCAGGGUCGGCGGCCGAGCCCACUGGGAACUAUGGAAGAUAGUUCUCACCCCACUCUAUUUCCAGUGGUAGGUUCGGGGCUGCAGAGAGAGGACCGCGGCAAGGGCGUCGCGCCCGACCAGUGAGACCGUGGUAGCAUAGUAGCUUUUCCUUUUGCAUUAGUCACCUAUGUAUUGAGAGAGAUUCUUGUAGGUGAGGUUGGAGAGCUAUGUAUUUUGGAUGAAAAAUGAUGUAAUGAAUGUAACUAAUGUAAUAGUUAGUAAAGUACUCUCUUUAUUUCACUUGUAUAUCUCGUGGAUUACUUGCUCUUCUUGUUGUUGGCACUGUUUGUGCCCUUGCUGAAUGUGUAUGUUUAGAAUUUAAAGUCCUGGGUGAAUUCUUGUACACAUUCCUGUGGUUGAGCCUUGGGCGGACAGUGGGGAGUGCUGUCCGUUCGGCGGUCUGUCGCCGCGGCCGAAUCGUGCCAAAUUGGUAGUGGUUUCGGGGCGGGGCGUGACACGGUGUGUGUGAUCAGCGCCGAGGAAAGUGCUUUAGAUACGGGCAAGCAGGGCACAUCGCACGAGACUGCCCUCAGGGAGGGGCUUUAUCUGCUCCAUCCGUUGCAUCGGGCCCGGCAAUUCCGGCUCGUUAUGCUAUGCCACCUCCUGCGGCGUCGGCUGGACGUGCGGCGGCGCCACGUCAACCUGAACCUGCACGAUCGGCUCCGAGCGGAAGGAUGUAUGCCGCUCAAGUGCGAGAAGAGGAGCCCAUGGAAGCCGAGGAGCGCAAUGUAGUGGCAGGUAUGGUUUUGGUCAAUGGUGUUCGAGCAAGAGCUCUUUUUGAUACUGGCGCGUCUCACUCCUUCAUUAACCGAUCGUUUGCACAAGUGCAUGAUAUUGGGAUUAGUCUCGGGGAGAGUGUGUGGCGUGUAGAAGGACCCGGACGAGCCUUCCUUGUUAGGAAGCUGUGUUUGGCGUGCCCAGUACAAGUAGGUGACUGGAUUAUGCCGGUCGACCUGUUGGUGCUAAAGAGGUUAAAGGAGUUCGAUGUCAUUUUAGGUAUGGACUGGCUCUCGAAGUAUUAUGUGUCUAUCGACUGCAAGACUAGAGUGAUCACAUUUCGGGAGCCAGGGCACGAGGAGUUCAUGUAUCGAGCUUGCAAGAGUUCGUGCUUCGCCGCGACGGUGUCGGCGACAAGAGCGAGGAAGCUAGUCAAUAGCGGUUGCAUGGCUUACUUGGCGACCGUUAUGGAAGUCGACCGAGUAGUGCCGGCCUUGGAAGAGUUGGAGGUUGUGCGAGAGUUUCCGGAUGUAUUUCCGGCAGAGCUACCGGGGAUGCCGCCGGACCGGGAAAUCUAGUUUAUGAUAGACUUGCUUCCCGGGACCACGCCGAUAUCUAAGGCCCCGUACCGUAUGGCGCCGGCUGAGCUAAGGGAGUUGCGGGAUCAAUUGCAGGAUCUUCUCGACAAAGAGUUUAUUAGGCCGAGCGUGUCGCCAUGGGGAGCCCCGGUACUGUUUGUGCGCAAGAAGGAUGGAUCCUUUCGACUUUGCGUGGAUUACCGCGAGUUGAAUAAGGUCACUGUGAAGAACAAGUACCCGUUACCCCGCAUCGACGACUUGUUUGACCAGUUGCAGGGGUCGCGAGUGUACUCCAAGAUCGACCUCCAAUCCGGCUACCAUCAGUUGAAGAUUAAGCCGGAGGAUGUUUCGAAGACCGCGUUUCGCACGCGGUACGGACACUACGAGUUUACCGUGAUGCCGUUUGGGCUUACAAAUGCCCCAGCUGCGUUCAUGAGUUUGAUGAACCGAGUGUUCAAGGAAUGCUUAGACCGAUUUGUCGUAGUCUUUAUAGACGACAUCUUGGUCUAUUCGCGUGAUGAGGAGGAGCAUGCGGAGCAUUUGCGCACCGUACUUCAAAUCCUUCGGGAGAAGAAGUUGUACGCAAAGCUAAAGAAGUGUGACUUCUGGCUCCGAGAAGUCGCUUUUCUCGGGCAUGUUAUUUCCGAGGGCGGUGUUUCUGUUGACCCGAGGAAAGUAGAGGCUAUUGAGAAUUGGCCGCGCCCGACGAAUGUUGCUGAGGUCCGAAGUUUUGUGGGCCUAGCAGGUUACUACCGACGGUUUGUGGAGGGCUUCUCGAAGAUCGUGAUUCCACUCACCCGUCUGACGCAGAAAGGCACCCGGUUUGUUUGGAGCGACGAGUGUGACCGGAGUUUUAAAAAGUUGAAGGAAAGGUUAACUUCAACCCCGGUACUCGCCUUACCGGUGCAGGGUGAUGACUACGUGGUGUUUAGCGAUGCGUCUUAUCUGGGUUUGGGGUGUGUGCUGAUGCAAGGCGGGAGGGUCAUUGCUUAUGCGUCCCGUCAGUUGAAAAGCUACGAGAAGAACUACCCCAUACAUGAUUUGGAGUUGGCGGCGGUGAUCUUUGCUCUGAAGCUUUGGAGACACUAUCUAUAUGGUGCUCAUUGCGAGAUCUACACCGACCAUAAAAGUUUGAAGUACUUGUUUACCCAGAAGGAGCUGAACAUGCGGCAACGGCGAUGGUUGGAGUUGCUUAAGGAUUACGAUGUUGAUAUCCUUUACCACCCCGGAAAAGCAAACGUAGUCGCUGAUGCGCUUAGUCGGAAGUCGGCGGAGAACCUCGCCUUGUGGGUUACCAAUCAGACGCCCCUACAGUUGCAAAUGGGGAGAAUGGAUCUUGAAGUGGUGGCUCCGGAAAUCCCGACUAGGUUGAUGACGUUGGUGGUCCAACCCACUUUGUUGGAAAGGAUCAAGGAUUUACAAUCCGUGGACCCGAGUCUCCAGAAGGUACGGCACAAUGUCGAAAGUGGCCGUGGCGGGGAUUUCAGCGUGGAUGCUAGGGAUGCACUACGGUUCCGAAACCGGUGGUGUGUGCCAAAUGAUGAGGAGCUUCGCAAGUUGAUUUUGCAAGAAGCGCAUUGGUCUCCUUAUGUCGACCACCCGGGUGGCACCAAGAUGUUCCAUGAGCUGAAAACACUAUAUUGGUGGCCGGGAAUGAAAGUCGACAUCGGGCGCUUCGUAGCGAAGUGUUUAGUGUGUCAGCAGGUGAAGGCGGAGCGCCGGUUUCCAGCGGGGAAGCUGCAGAGUUUACCUAUUCCCGUCUGGAAAUGGGACGACAUAUCGAUGGAUUUUGUCGUCGGCUUACCUCGUUCGACGGGUGGCCACGACGCGAUUUGGGUAAUUGUGGAUCGCUUGACGAAAUCUGCGCACUUUCUGCCGAUCCACAAUACUUGGGCAGGUGAUAAGCUCGCGCAAGUAUAUCUCGAUGAGAUUGUGAGGCUACAUGGGGUGCCGAAGUCGAUUGUAUCGGAUCGAGACCCCAAGUUCACUUCACACUUUUGGAGAAGCCUGCAGGACGCCCUUGGCACACGACUCGAGUUCAGUACCGCCUUUCAUCCUCAGACUGAUGGGCAAACAGAGAGAACCAUUCAGACCUUGGAGGAUAUGUUGCGGGCGUGUGCCGUUGAUUACAAGGGGAGUUGGUAUAGGCAUCUGCCAAUGGCCGAGUUCGCCUACAACAAUAGUCAUCAUGCGAGUGUGGGGAUGGCACCGUUCGAGGCUCUGUAUGGGCGGAAGUGCCGAUCUCCCAUUCAUUGGAGUGAUGUGGGCGAGCGAGCGGAGUUCGGUCCCGACGUGUUGCGAGAGGCGAAGGAGAAAGUCCAUCUUGCUCGCAAGAGAUUGCUCACGGCGCAAUCUCGAUAGAAGAGUUAUUCGGAUAAGCGCCGUAGGGACUUGGAAUUUGCGGUAGGUGACCGCGUAUUCUUGAAGGUUUCGCCGAUGAGAGGCGUGAAAAGAUUCGGGGUGCGAGGGAAGUUGAGUCCUCGUUAUAUCGGUCCCUACGAGAUUUUGGAGCGGAUUGGGACGGUGGCAUACCGGCUUGCGUUGCCACCCAAGCUCGCGGGUGUGCAUAAUGUAUUCCACGUCUCCAAUCUCCGCAAGUACGUGCAUGACCCUUAGCACGUCUUGGUCUACGAGCCGCCGGAACUGCAGGAAGACAUGAGUUACGAAGAGUUUCCGGUGGAGAUCCUAGCUCGACAGGUGCGAAAGUUGAGAAGUCGCGAAAUUCCUUAUGUUCGAGUCCGGUGGAGCAAUCAUGGUGAUCGCGAAGCCACCUGGGAGCUCGAGGAGGAGAUGAAAGCGAAUCAUCCUCACUUAUUUGAGGAUUGAGCCGAGGUAUGAGUUUAGAGUUUAAAUUUGGAUGAAUUUAAUAUCAUUGAGUUCGUUUCGAGGACGAAACUCUUUUAAGGUGGGGAGAAUGUAAGGGAAGUAAAUUCUCGAAAUCCGGGGAUUAGACUUCGUUGGGAAGCGACUGAUUGUCGAGUGAGUAAGCUUCGGAAAGUCCGAAGGUGGUUAUAAUGCAUAAAGUGCAUUGAGGAAGUGUCCGCGAGAGUACCAGUGCGAAAGCUGCACUGGAGUAGAAAUGCUCUCGGGGACCGGUCCCUGGCAGGGAGGGACCGGUCCCAUCAGGCUGGGCUGGCGGGAGGUCGUGAUGCAACCGGUCUCUGGUGAGGAGGAACCGGUUCCCGAACGUUGGCCCAGCGAGAGAAGCCAAAAUUUGGCUAAGUCCCAAAGAUGUUGCUCUCGGGAACCGGUCUCUCGGACAAGGACCGGUCUCCCGGGGACCGGUCUCUCAGGCAAAGACCGGUUCCCGAACGCGAAGUCCCCUCUGCCUGGUUGGGCAGCUUUCGGGGACCGGUCUCCCCGAGCAGGGACCGGUCCCUCACUGCGAAAAUGGCCCAGGGAGGGCUGAUUCAGAUAAUGAAAAGUUGAGGGGGCUAAUUGCAAAGUGGCCUUUAUUAGGGCUUGGGGGUCUCUUUCUCUCCCUCAGUUGCUUUCUCCCCCUCUCACACCUUUCCCUCUCUCUCUCUAGAAAGGAAAAGAAGAAGGAGAAGAAGGAGAGGAAGGAAAAGAAGGAGAAAGAGAAGGAGAAGACUAAGAAGAAGAAGAAGAUCAUCUUCUUCUCUCCCUCUUCAAGCUUGGAGCUUGGUAUCGAGGUAACCUCAAAACCCUUUAAUGGUGGAUUUUGGAAGUUAGGGUUUUAUAGCUUGAAAUUGGUUCAAAUGGAAUCUAUUGAAGCUAGGGAGUAGGUUCGAGCUCGAAAUUGAAGCUCGCACCGCGGAUUUCUCCAGUACUGAGAUCUAGGGCUCAGAAAUGGGAUUUUGGCAAAUCUAGGGUUUUGAUCUAAAUUGAUGGGUCGCAAACCUAAUUGCUAGGUCUCUGAACGCGUCGGCGAAGACGGUUCGUCGAUCCGUCGAGUGGGUGCGGAGUUAUCGCCAAGAAGACCUUCGGAGCUUCGUUUUCGCUUGGAAGGCCAACGAGGCGCCGAAACGUCGGCGAAUCGCAAUCGAAGAGUCGCGGCAUCACCACGAGGUGGGGGAGUGCCAUCCCGAAGCAGUCGGGCUACUCUUUAUGUCUGAGUAUUAAUAUCGAUCAGUUGCAUAUUGCGCUAUAGCAUUAUAGGGUGUUAUAUGUAAUUGUGCAUAUCCUCGCAUGCUAGAGAUACUUUAGGUUGUGGAUACCAUGAAUAAAACCUAGUAUGCAUGAGUUGAAAACUAUGAGAUAGUUCGCCCUAUAUAUGAUAAAUAUGUUUAUGUGAAUAUGAGCCUAGUGUGUUGGAAACUAGUGUAUCAAGAAUUGUCAAGAGAACGAGUGGCAUCUAGUUAACCUGAACAUUGAACGAGUGGCAUUAAGUAGUGCAAGAAUGACAUGAAAACCCUAGUAUAGUUGAAUACUAUGUUGCUAUCACCCCUAGUUGGAUAGGGUGUUUCCGGUUCGUGAGAUUGGAUCGAGCUCACUUAGCCUGUCUGCACCUGUGGAGGUAGCUCCUCACAGGUAGUGCACUCCGGAGUUUUGGCACGCGAGGGGGCCAGUGUAGUGCCCUUGGACCAGUGUAGUGUCCGC